UGUGCUAAAGAGGCGUGUUAUUGGGGCUUGUGCUUUUCUUUUCACAGGAAGUUGACACUAUCUGCCAUACUGCAGACCCAUAACUGUAUAGGAAGUCAGUCACAGCAUUGCUGAGAGCACCUCAUUCAUUAAUGGGACAGAAUGGAGCUCAGCCGGCUCAUAUUCACUUUACUGCUGACUGUCUAUAAAUCCAAUGGAGAAAUUCGUCAAUCCCCAGUCAUCUUUGCCAAAAGCAGUUCUACUGUGACAUUAACAUGUGAACAUGAUAAUCUCGAUCACUACAGAUUGUUCUGGUACAAGCAAGCAAAGGUGGAUGUUGGUUUGACUUUACUGAUGUUUUCUGCUGGCCAAAAUAUGGUGGAAAUUGAAGCACCAUUUAAUACUCCUGAUUCCAAAUAUAAUGCAACCCGUACAGAAAUAAAGAUGUCCACGCUGCAGAUUACGAAACUAGAGACUAAAGACUCGGCUCUGUAUUAUUGUGCCACAAGCACACAGUAUCAUAUUACAGCUGCACUGCUAAACAACAACCACAACUCUAACACUGUGCCGAGAACAGGAGGAUUGGAAAAUGUAGACGUUCAUCAUUAUCAGUUAGAAUAAUGAAUGUGAAUUGUGAAUAUUAUUGUAAUUACUUUCAAAGGUUGAUACAUGAAAAACAAUUGUUUUACCAUUUUGCAAGGUGGUAUAAAAUCUAAUAUCUUUAAUAUUAAUAAUUGGUAUUUUUGUCUUUAAGUUGUAAUCAAAUAAUUCAAGUCAAAACAUAGUUUAAUCAGUCUUCAUUCUAGGUUAGAAAAAAGGGAAAUGAUUAAAAAGUUUAGAUCAGUUAACGAAAUUGCACUGUUUCACUCACUGUAUGUGUACCACAAGGCUUCAAUCUGUCAUUUAAGAUGUCAUUUCCUGUUCCUUUUGAACAGAGACUCACUAAAUAGGGCAGUCAAAAUAUAUCUAGAAGGGGUAAGAGACAGAAAGGUGUUGACUGUCCUCUUUAAUGUCAUGGGACUGCUGUGUUUGGGGUUUAUUUUCCUGCUAGUUAUUAGGACACUUAGAUGGAAUAACCAUCACUCAGAAUGAUCAAGUUAGUAAAACUCAACUGAUCGCUCAACGGGAUAAAACAGUUACUCUAAAAUGUAACCAUGACGAUAGCAGCUAUUAUUAUAUGUACUGGUACAGACAGAGGAAGUCAAGGUGAAAUGACCCUUGUUGCUAUUUCUUUGGGAAAAGAUACAGUAGAAACAGUUGCCCCAUUCACAGACACCAAACACAUAAUGAAACGACCUAAGAUUGAAGAAUCUUCGCUGGAGAUCAAGGAUCUAGUAGAGGAAGACUCAGGCAUUUAUUUCUGUGCCUCUAGCAUUACACAGUACCUUAACUUAGUCGAACACCUGAACAAUAACCCCAAUCUGAGCCACAAUGAUAAGAAAAAAAUACAUCAUAAAUGUG